rnacentral:hammerhead_ribozyme from 1 species
AUCCAGCUGACGAGUCCCGAACAGGACGAAACGCGCGUCGUGCGC